rnacentral:rRNA from 1 species
GACGAACGCUGGCGGCGUGCCUAAUACAUGCAAGUAGAACGCUGAGGGAGGAGCUUGCUUCUCUGGAUGAGUUGCGAACGGGUGAGUAACGCGUAGGUAACCUGCCUGGUAGCGGGGGAUAACUAUUGGAAACGAUAGCUAAUACCGCAUAAGAGUAGAUGUCGCAUGACAUUUGCUUAAAAGGUGCAAUUGCAUCACUACCAGAUGGACCUGCGUUGUAUUAGCUAGUUGGUGAGGUAACGGCUCACCAAGGCAACGAUACAUAGCCGACCUGAGAGGGGGAUCGGCCACACUGGGACUGAGACACGGCCCAGACUACUACGGGAGGCAGCAGUAGGGAAUCUUCGGCAAUGGACGGAAGUCUGACCGAGCAACGCCGCGUGAGGGAAGAAGGGUGUCGGAUCGUAAAGCUCUGUUGUAAGAGAAGAACGAGUGUGAGAGUGGAAAGUUCACACUGUGACGGUAUCUUACCAGAAAGGGACGGCUAACUACGUG